GUCUCUGUGGCUCAGUCGGUAGAGCGUUGGUCUCAUAAUCCAAAGGUCGCAAGUUCGAGCCUUGCCAGGGACA
rnacentral:tRNA from 3 species